GAACAUUCAAUCUAUUCUUUAGCUGUCCCUCCUUCCCUCCCCCACUCCUUGUCCUUUCUACCCACUUCUUUCCCCUCCCUCCCCUCCCUUCUCUUCUGCUCUCCUCUCCCUUUCUCCACCCUCCACCCUUCCUGUUAGUGUUUAUCAAGCCCCUAACAGGCUUUUGCCUGAAACAGAGAAUAUCAGAACAUGGCUCCCCAUGCCCGUGCUCACCUGAGCUUACAAACAGACACUGCAGACCUGGAUGGCACAACCCUGGAGAAGUAGUCCUGGCCUCAGCCACCCUGUUACAGAGAACGGAGCAAGACGGGGUAACUCUGAUCCCCCAAACUGACAAGGACGUUACCCAGAAACUGAGUGAGAGACCAGCUCUCAGGAACAUAAAUGCAGGUCCUCUCAUCACAACAUUGGCAGAUCAAGUCCAUUGAUACGUAAAGAGGAUAACAGUAUGGCCAAGUGGGUUUUAUCCAAGGAACAUGGGGUCAGCCUUGAGAAAUGAAUCGGUGUAAUUCAGGUGAAAAACCUUAUCGUUGUCUU